CAGACAUCACAGUGUGCUCCAGAGAGGCAGCUUCCAUGAGUCCUCACCUGUGCUGGGGUGGGCUCUUCAGUGAUGCAACUGCCUGUGAGUCAUCCAUGCGCCUGUAAGUGACUCCUCACCUGCUCUUUAAACAUAUGCCUUCCCUGAGUGCUGACCCAUUUUCCAGGUGAACUGAAGCAGGAUGAUGAGUGAAGGAAGGAAAGACUUUCUCUCUCUCUUAUAUGAGGUGAAAACAGGACCACAGAGGCCAUGUGACGUGUUCAGAGCCCCCAUCAGAUGAGAAUGCUGAAGCCUGGGCCUGUGACCACUCCUGCAUCCCUCCUUCCAAAGCGCCACUAAAGAUCCUUCUGGUUCCCCUCCUGGGAUGGGGACUGGGUGGAACUGGGAAGGUCAAAGUUCAGCAAGACAACUCAGGUUCAGGUUCAGGUUCACAGAGGAGAGCUCCAGGAGAAGAAACAGACAAGCUCACGAUCCCAGCGUUCUCUUUCCCCCAAAUUCCCUACAGACUUGACUCUCUCUCCUCUCCCCAAGCCUACAUCUCAGUACUGGUUCUCUGUGAAAGCAUUUCAUGUACAGUGUGACUUUAAAAUCUUAUCCCUUACCA